AGUGAACGCUGGCGGUAGGCCUAACACAUGCAAGUCGAACGGCAGCACAGUAAGAGCUUGCUCUUACGGGUGGCGAGUGGCGGACGGGUGAGGAAUACAUCGGAAUCUACUUUUUCGUGGGGGAUAACGUAGGGAAACUUACGCUAAUACCGCAUACGACCUACUGGUGAAAGCAGGGGAUCUUCGGACCUUGCGCGAUUGAAUGAGCCGAUGUCGGAUUAGCUAGUUGGCGGGGUAAAGGCCCACCAAGGCGACGAUCCGUAGCUGGUCUGAGAGGAAGAUCAGCCACACUGGAACUGAGACACGGUCCAGACUCCUACGGGAGGCAGCAGUGGGGAAUAUUGGACAAUGGGCGCAAGCCUGAUCCAGCCAUACCGCGUGGGUGAAGAAGGCCUUCGGGUUGUAAAGCCCUUUUGUUGGGAAAGAAAAGCAGCAGGUUAAUACCCCGCUGUUCUGACGGUACCCAAAGAAUAAGCACCGGCUAACUUCGUG
rnacentral:rRNA from 1 species